GUUUACCGAGCUUUUCUUGCUAGCUCUGAGGUUGAACAGAUCUUUGAUGGGAGCAGGAACUCACUGUCUGGAAUUGAUGUAAUGCGUAAAAUUUGCAACCAUCCCGAUCUUCUUGAAAGAGAACACUCCAGUACAGAUCCAGAUUACGGGAACCCUGAACGCAGUGGAAAAAUGAAAGUUGUUGCAGAAGUGCUUAAGGUAUGGAAGGAACAGGGGCACCGUGUUCUCCUUUUUUCUCAAACUCAACAGAUGCUUGAUAUUCUUGAGAGAUUUCUGGUUACUUGUGAGUACAAUUAUAGACGAAUGGAUGGUGUCACUCCUGUAAAGCAGAGGAUGGUUUUGAUAGAUGAAUUUAACAAUACAGAUGAUAUUUUUAUCUUCAUCUUGACAACAAAAGUUGGUGGUCUGGGGACAAACUUGACUGGGGCUA
rnacentral:misc_RNA from 1 species